rnacentral:rRNA from 1 species
AUCGAACGCUGGCGGCAGGCCUAACACAUGCAAGUCGAACGAGUGGCGGACGGGUGAGUAAUGUCUGGGAAACUGCCCGAUGGAGGGGGAUAACUACUGGAAACGGUAACUAAUACCGCAUACCAUCGGAUGUGCCCAGAUGGGAUUAGCUAGUAGGUGGGGUAAAGGCUCACCUAGGCGACGAUCCCUAGCUGGUCUGAGAGGAUGACCAGCCACCCUGGAACUGAGAAACGGUCCAAACUCCUACGGAAGGCAGCAGUGGGGAAUAUUGCACAAUGGGCGCAAGCCUGAUGCAGCCAUGCCGCGUGUGUGAAGAAGGCCUUCGGGUUGUAAAGCACUUUCAGCGGGGAGGCGUUACCCGCAGAAAAAGCACCGGCUAACUCCGUGCCAGCCGCCGCGGUAAUUC